CUUAGAGAUCACAGAACGACUGAAUGGUUGUGUUGGAAAGGUCCUUGCAGAUCAAAGAACCACAGACUCGGUGUGUUGGAAGGGUCCUUACAGAUCACAGAAGCACAGAAUGGUUGUGUUGGAAGGGUCCUUACAGAUCACAGAACCACUGAAUGGUUCUGUUGGAAAGGUCCUUGCAGAUCAAAGAACCGCAGACUCGUUGUGUUGGAAGGGUCCUUGCAGAUCAAAGAACCACAGACUCGUUGUGUUGGAAGGGUCCUUACAGAUCACAAAAGCACUGAAUGGUUGGGUUGGAAGGGUCCUGACAGGUCACAGAACGACUGAAUGGUUGUGUUGGAAAGGUCCUUGCAGAUCAAAGAACCGCAGACUCGUUGUGUUGGAAGGGUCCUUACAGAUCACAGAACCACUGAAUGGUUGGGUUGGAAGGGUCCUGACAGGUCACAGAACGACUGAAUGGUUGUGUUGGAAAGGUCCUUGCAGAUCAAAGAACCACAGACUCGUUGUGUUGGAAGGGUCCUUACAGAUCACAGAAGCACAGAGCGGUUGUGUUGGAAAGGUCCUUACAGAUCACAGAGCGGUUGUGUUGGAAAGGUCCUUACAGAUCCCCCUCUGGCUGAAGGAUUCCCCCACAUCUGACCCCACAUCUCCUCUGUGUUGGGUUCCCCCAUGUCCCAUCCCGCUGUGCCCACGCAGUCGCUCUCCUCCCAUCACCACCUCCCUCCCUGAGCCUUCCCCUCCCCACGCCGCCCCCAAACUCUCACCCUGGCCCCAUAGCAGAGCGAAACCCCACAUCCCCCACCCCCAGAGCUCCCCGAUAUGCCGCAGUGGGGGCUCUGAGGACCAUCACAGCCCCCCCCUUUGCCAUCCAUCGGGUCCUGGCAGGUAUCACCGCGAUGGCACGCGGGACGCUGAUCCCACAGCCGUACACUUCCAUUCUCACUCCUCUCGUGCAUAGGGGACGGUCGGCCGUGCCGGGAGCUCUGCGUCUCCCAUCGCCCCCAACCCCAUACGGGGACCCCAUUUAGGGCCGGGGGCGGGGUGGGGCGCCCCCUCGGGCUCAACCACUGACGGAACCUUCUCUUCUUUCUCUUUUUUCUCUCUCUCUCUCGUCCCGGGAUCCCACUCGGAAAAGGGAAGGAGAGAGGAUGGCUCGGCUGCGCGCUGCGUCUUGGGCUCGGGUUCCCUGGAUGACUUCAUCCACGUGUCCUACGAGUUCUGCUAACCGACCCGGAUACCCCAUCCCGUCCCAUCCCAUCCCCCCCUCCGACCCGGGCCCCGAGCCCGCCGGUUGCCCCUCGGCUCCGAUGCGGCCCCACGCGGGGGGCCGGGCUCCCUGGGAAGCCUCGGGGGGGAAACGUGGGGGUCUCAGCCCCACGUUGGCCGUGCUGUGGGCAGGGCUGUAGGCGCAGACUGAGCUCCCUGCGCUCGGAGCAUCGGUGGGCCAUCGGAGCGUUGGGGUGCUGCGGUUUCCGUGCCUAUUUCCUUCCCUCCCCGCACCCCACACGCUCAGGAGCCCCCCGGGGGGUGGGCACUGAGCCCCCCUGGUGGGCAGAGAGGGUUGGAGGUGAGCGUGGCUGUCCCCGUACCGCAGAGGCCUUUGGGGGAGCUUUGGG
ensembl:lncRNA